GUUGCCCUAAGAUCGUCAUAUGACUAAGGGGCAGGUAGACCUAUUUGUCACUGAGUACUUGGAAGGGAAGAAAUGGUGUGGAUUGAUGCAAAGGAAUUUCACCUGUUCACAGACUUCAGUUCUUUGCUCUCCCUGGGCUCAGACAGUCCUGAGAAAACUUGCAGGAAGGCUCAUUCAUUUGGCAAGGCCAGAGGGCGAGGCAGGCGUGGGUAGGGAGUGCCGAGCCAGACCAGCCAGCAAGCCCAGAUCCUGCGUGUCUAUCAAUGUCCCUGUGAGAGCAUGCCAUUAGGCUGCAGUAAAAACCUGGGGAUGCAUCAUGCCCUUGUCUGCUCCCAACACACCCUUCCUUUUGCUGGCACGUUUCCAGAGGAGGAUCCAGCAUCUUGAAGCCUGGACGAGUUUGGUCAGUCUCGGCUGGGUGGUCAGGGCUCUCACUGAAGGGGUCGUAGCCUGCUUCUCCAUCACUGUUCUCUAUCUACUUGGUCAUUGUCCCCACAUGCAUGUCCACACUUUUAGGACUCCAGAUGGGGCAAAGGGACAUUGUGUGCUACAAUGUGGGACAUCCAUGGGCCUGGAAAAAGGCUGACCCAUUUUAAUGAGUACAGGUAUUCCAGAUGCAGAAGCAGGUGCCUUCACUUCCUUCACAGUCCUAGGUACUGUGUCUCCAUUCCACAGAGGAGGCUAAUGAGAGUCAGAGGUAAGACAGUGUGCCGAAUGUCUAGGUAAUCCACAUGCUGUGACUACAAAGUUGAUACAUACCCAGAGUCAGCGACCAUUAAUGUCCAUUCCAGCAGGUACAGCUUAACCACGUUUCAGGUCUCUGUUCAAAGAUCACCUCUUUCCUGAAGCCCUCACCAAUUGUCUCCAUAUGCCCACACUUCUUCUCAUCUGAGUGCCCAAAUGACUGUCUGUACCUCUCAUGUGUGCGCAGUCAUCAUCUAUCUUGUGUUCCAGGUAGUCGUGUAUGAGCCACCUCUCAAACAGGCUGUGAGUGAUCCAGGUGCAGGGGACCUGCUGGAGUGAAGCUUUUGGCAUGAUAAUUCAAUCCACGUUACUCCAUUGCCAUUUGUUACCACGUCCUUCAGUCUCCUCAAUCUCUCAGUCCCCUUAUUUUUCGUGACCUUGACAACUUUGAGGAGGACUCAUCAGUGGUGAAAAUAAUUCCAAACAAAAAUGAUAAAUACCAGACUCAAAUUGGAAGUGAAAGGAUCCAGAAGAUGGUACUUGCUGAGAGUAAUGGAACAGGGAUGGUGCCACAAGAGUUCUUGGGGAAGUUUUGAAGAAAGCAAAGAUGUUUUGGGGACAUAUGCAGUCUGCAGUCCUCCACAGAGACUGGAGCCCAGCAUUUUGAAAAGAAUGCCAAUUGGAAGAAUUUGGAAUAAAGAAUUACUCAGAAAUAGAAACUGUUUUGGCAGGGUUGAAAUGUUAUAUCAGUACAGAAUGAUUUCAAAUUAAUGGGCAGAAUUCAAUUUUGUUCAUAUGCAUGCUCCAGUUUGGGAAGGGAAUCAAGUGGAAGGGAUAUAUGGGGGCUUUGAGAGACAUUGAGUUCUUAGACAGUUCUUCCUUCCCACAAGUUAGAAUUUAGAGACGAGUGUGGCCAAACACUGUGGGUGUGGUAAAAGUAUGUGUGAGUUCAGACAAUGGCAGUGACUGGCAGGGAUGCUCUUGACCAGGACUAGGUCUAUUACUUGAGAUAAUAUAAAGUCUGAAUUAUUUCCCAGCCCAUGUCAUAAUAUCGUGGGGCUUAGACCCUUCUAAGGCUGCUUACCUUGCCAGGGAAGUGCACUUCCCCCUUGUAAGUAUGAGAUGGCAAUGAGAAUCCUGUGUGUGUCUGUAUUUAUCUGUAUCUAUAUCCAGGUCUAUAUUAUCGGAUAAUAUGCCUACACAUUCAGACACACAUAGAGCCCCCAGUUCUGUUCCCCAAGCACUUACUAAGGACCCACUCUGUGCUGGAGUCUCUGCUAUGUUUUGGGGAUAUAGUGAGGGAAAUGUCUUACAGUCUCCUUCAUGUGUUUACUAUUUAUUAAUGCCAAAUAGAGAAAUAAAA
rnacentral:lncRNA from 10 species